rnacentral:rRNA from 2 species
GGUCAAGCUACAAAGGGCGCAUGGUGAAUGCCUUGGCAUCAGGAGCCGAUGAAGGACGUGAUAAGCUGCGAUAAGCUUCGGGUAGGCGCACAUAGCCUGAGAUCCGAAGAUCUCCGAAUGAGGAAACUCACAUGGGAAACCCCAUGUAUCAUUAAGUGAAUACAUAGCUUAAUGAAGGUAACCCAGGGAACUGAAACAUCUAAGUACCUGGAGGAAGAGAAAGAAAAAUCGAUUUUCUUAGUAGCGGCGAGCGAAAGGGAAAGAGCCCAAACCGGAAACUUGUUUCCGGGGUUGUGGACAUAGCAUAAAAGUGGAGGCUAUUGUAACUGAAGAGAACUGGAAAGUUCCACCGUAGAAGGUAAUAGUCCUGUAAGUGAAACGAGAAGACCACGAGUUAUGAUCCAGAGUACCACGAGACACGUGAAACCUUGUGGGAAGCAGGGAGGACCACCUCCCAAGGCUAAAUACUACCUGAUGACCGAUAGUGAAGCAGUACCGUGAGGGAAAGGUGAAAAGAACCCCGGGAGGGGAGUGAAAUAGAACCUGAAACCGUGUGCCUACAACCGCUCAGAGCCCCUUAUGAGGGUGAUGAGGUGCUUUUUGUAGAACGAGCCAACGAGUUACGGUAUGUAGCAAGGUUAAGUACUUAAGGUACGGAGCCGAAGGGAAACCGAGUCUGAAUAGGGCGACUAGUUGCAUGCCGUAGACCCGAAACCGGGUGACCUAUCCAUGGCCAGGUUGAAGCGAGGGUAAAACCUCGUGGAGGACCGAACCACGUUGCUGUUGAAAAAGCAUGGGAUGAGCUGUGGAUAGCGGAGAAAUUCCAAUCGAACCCGGAGAUAGCUGGUUCUCUCCGAAAUAGCUUUAGGGCUAGCGUCGAGUAUGAGUAGUGGAGGUAGAGCACUGAAUGGGCUAGGGGGCAUAGCGCUUACCGAACCUUAUCAAACUCCGAAUGCCACAUACUUUGAGCUCGGCAGUCAGACUACGAAUGAUAAGAUCCGUGGUCAAAAGGGAAACAGCCCAGAUCGUCAGCUAAGGUCCCAAAGUGUAAGUUAAGUGGGAAAGGAUGUGAGAUUUCUAAGACAACUAGGAUGUUGGCUUAGAAGCAGCCAUUCAUUAAAAGAGUGCGUAAUAGCUCACUAGUCGAGAGAUCUUGCGCCGAAAAUGUAACGGGGCUAAACUUACCACCGAAGCUACGGGCUUGAACUUAGUUCAAGCGGUAGGAGAGCGUCGUAACCGGGCUGAAGUCGUACCGUAAGGAGCGGUGGACUGGUUACGAGUGAGAAUGUUGGCAUCAGUAGCGAGAUGUGGGUGAGAAUCCCACAGGCCGAAAACCUAAGGUUUCCUCAGGAAGGUUCGUCCGCUGAGGGUUAGUCGGGACCUAAGCCGAGGCCGAAAGGCGUAGGUGAUGGACAACUGGUUGAUAUUCCAGUACCACUACCAUCGUUAUUAUCGAUGGCGUGACGCAGGAGGAUAGUGUGUGCUAGCUAUUGGAUGCUAGUCUAAGCGUUUAGGCAGUGAGAGUAGGCAAAUCCGCUCUCAUAAUGCUGAGGCGUGAUGGGGAAGGUUCUACGGAACCGAAGUACAUGAUUCCACGCUGCCAAGAAAAGCGUCUAGAGAGAGAAGUAGUGCCCGUACCGCAAACCGACACAGGUAGGUGAGGAGAGAAUCCUAAGGCCGGCGGAAGAAUUACAGUUAAGGAACUCGGCAAAUUGACCCCGUAAGUUCGCGAGAAGGGGUGCCUACGAGAGUAGGCCGCAGAGAAUAGGCCCAAGCAACUGUUUAGCAAAAACACAGGUCUCUGCUAAAGCGUAAGCUGAUGUAUAGGGGCUGACGCCUGCCCGGUGCUGGAAGGUUAAGGGGAACACUUAGCGCAAGCGAAGGUGUGAACUUAAGCCCCAGUAAACGGCGGCCGUAACUAUAACGGUCCUAAGGUAGCGAAAUUCCUUGUCAGGUAAGUUCUGACCCGCACGAAUGGCGUAAUGACUUGGGCACUGUCUCAACUGUAAAUCCGGCGAAGUUGUAGUGCGAGUGAAGAUGCUCGCUACCCGCGAUUGGACGGAAAGACCCCGUAGAGCUUUACUGUAGCUUAGCAUUGAGUUUUGGUAUUGUCUGUACAGGAUAGGUGGGAGACUAGGAAACCAGGGCGUCAGCCUUGGUGGAGUCAACCUUGGGAUACCACCCUGACAGUACUGAAAUUCUAACUGGCGGCCAUGAAUCUGGUCACAGGACAUUGUUAGGUGGGCAGUUUGACUGGGGCGGUCGCCUCCUAAAAAGUAACGGAGGCGCCCAAAGGUUCCCUCAGAACGGUCGGAAAUCGUUCGAAGAGUGCAAAGGCAGAAGGGAGCCUGACUGCGACACCCACAAGUGGAGCAGGGACGAAAGUCGGGCUUAGUGAUCCGGUGGUACCUCGUGGGAGGGCCAUCGCUCAACGGAUAAAAGCUACCUCGGGGAUAACAGGCUGAUCUCCCCCAAGAGUCCACAUCGACGGGGAGGUUUGGCACCUCGAUGUCGGCUCGUCGCAUCCUGGGGCUGAAGUAGGUCCCAAGGGUUGGGCUGUUCGCCCAUUAAAGCGGCACGCGAGCUGGGUUCAGAACGUCGUGAGACAGUUCGGUCCCUAUCCGUCGCGGGCGUAGGAAAUUUGAGAGGAGCUGUCCUUAGUACGAGAGGACCGGGAUGGACUGACCUCUGGUGUACCAGUUGUUCCGCCAGGAGCACAGCUGGGUAGCUAAGUCGGGAAUGGAUAAACGCUGAAAGCAUCUAAGCGUGAAGCCAACCUCAAGAUGAGAUUUCCCAUAGCGUAAGCUAGUAAGAUCCCUUGAAGAACACAAGGUUGAUAGGUCGGGGGUGUAAGCAUGGUAACAUGUUCAGCUGACCGAUACUAAUAGAUCGAGGGCUUGACCAA